UCUGACAGUAAACAGCCGCAUCUGAAAGGUGGAUAAGCGAAGAAGAAGAACCAGCAAAGAGGAAUCGUUCUUUGAUCAACUGAAAUCAUAUAGUAUAAAGAAGAUGGGCCCUCUAAGCAUAAAUGUUGCGAGACAGUUACUCCAACGUCAGAUGCACGUCCUUAGAACUGUGUCCAAUGACGUCAGAGAGAGGGAGGAGCGACUGCAGUGUAUGCAGGACAAGGUGGAGACUCUGGAAAUCAGAAGGAGACUCCAGGAGAGGACCCGCAUCAGACAACCAACAACUCAACGUGCCGUUAAGCGUCACCAAUGACAGCUGUAUCAUCACGGACACUUCUAUAGAUAGCGUCGCAUCAUCAUGAUGAUCCGCGUGUCUUCUGAUGAGGGUUACUCGUAUUCCAUAAGUUGAACGAAUGGAUAUUGAGGUGAUACGGAUCAUCGCAUCGAAAUCACGCUUAGCCAUUAAUAGCCAUUCCGUUUCUUCUCUUGUGUUAUCACUGAGAUGUAAUGUCGUCUUAUAGAGGCAUUCCACUCAUUCAUUUCUCCAAACUAUUUUAGUUAUAUUACAGAUAAUUAUGUUUUCCCUGUCGCCGAAGCAUGGAUAUAUAUGUUAAGCUAAGCGUGUUCAGCUGAUGAUCUUAUCCAUUCUUGAUUGAGUUCAUGAUAUUUUCAUGAUGUUUUAAAUAAUCUUUACGUCUGUUAAGUCUUAAGUAUUUGAUGUAUAUUGAUGUACAAGAUGACCGUUAAUUGAUUAGUCCUAUUGAAUUUAAUCGCUGUCAAGUAUUAUUUAUGUGAAAUGCUAUGAAGAGGCUUUGCCUUCAAAGGUAGUAGAUGAUGGGCCGUAACUAUGACAAUGUAGAAAUUAUUUCAGAAGUACAUGCAUAAUGUGACAUAAUGUAUUCAGGUAACAUAAUGUAUUCAGGAUGAAAUUCUAAUAAAAAAAUCUCAACCGUA